rnacentral:rRNA from 1 species
GACAGAGGUGCCGAGCGUUAGGCGGAAUCACUGGGCUUAAAGCGUGUGUAGGCGGAUCCGUAAGUACCUUGUGAAAUCCCACGGCUCAACCGUGGAACGGCUGGGUAUACUGCGGGUCUUGAGCCACUUAGGGGCGACCGGAACAAACGGUGGAGCGGUGAAAUGCGUAGAUAUCGUUUGGAACGCCGAUGGUGAAAACAGGUUGCUGGGAGUGCGCUGACGCUGAGACACGAAAGCCAGGGGAGCGAACGGG